UCUCAUUCCAUAAAUAUCUGCUGUAUACUUUCCAUGUAUAAGACAUUACACUUGGCUCCACAGGAGAUACAUGCAGGGGACAUAAAGAGAGUAAAAGGCAGUCUCAGCUCACAUACAGGUGCAGACAGCCUCAGGUAGAAGAAGCUCAAACCAUCCUAAUAGAGAAAUCAACCCCAUUCCCACUGAAGGCAAAUGAUACUCCAUGAGGGCUUCCUACAUGGCUGUCCACCAACAUUUCCCUGCUUAAAUUAUGGGAACCAUUAAUGCUGAAGGGCUGAAAAGGAGAGGUGUGCUCGGCUGAAACUAACACGCCCCAGUAUGCCUUUACUCUUGAACUUCAUUCGCCCUCUACUACCUUAACAUCUCUACUAUCUUAACAGAGUAUCCCCCAACUCUGAAAUUACCAAUA